rnacentral:misc_RNA from 1 species
CUAAGGAGCAUUCUCCACCGACACCAACACAGGUUGGACGGUAAACGUCUGGUGGCAGAGGCCAUUACGAACCCGAUCGUGGUUCGGUGGUUGCUCAUGGGAGGAACGCUGACAGCCUUCAUCGCAUCAUCUUCCGAUCCUGUGUGGUCGGGGGGCGGUGGAUAUAUCGACACACUGUUGGGUCCUGAAAGAACAGACGUUCUUUCCAGGCAAGAGAUACGAUCCGGCUGGAUCUCGGUGAUACCGGCUUCGGUUUCCUCCUUGGGGAGGGGGUCGGGGUGCUGGUCCCGGUGAAGAUUCGGUUGGUGUGUUGUUUGAGAACUGCACAGUGGACGCGAGCAUCUUUGUUUGUAAGUGUGUAAGAGCGUUC